AUUGAACGCUGGCGGCAUGCUUUACACAUGCAAGUCGAACGGCAGCACGGGCUUCGGCCUGGUGGCGAGUGGCGAACGGGUGAGUAAUAUAUCGGAACGUACCCAAGAGUGGGGGAUAACGUAGCGAAAGUUACGCUAAUACCGCAUACGAUCUAAGGAUGAAAGCGGGGGAUCGCAAGACCUCGUGCUCCUGGAGCGGCCGAUAUCUGAUUAGCUAGUUGGUGAGGUAAAGGCUCACCAAGGCGACGAUCAGUAGCUGGUCUGAGAGGACGACCAGCCACACUGGAACUGAGACACGGUCCAGACUCCUACGGGAGGCAGCAGUGGGGAAUUUUGGACAAUGGGCGCAAGCCUGAUCCAGCAAUGCCGCGUGAGUGAAGAAGGCCUUCGGGUUGUAAAGCUCUUUUGUCAGGGAAGAAACGGUAGGGGCUAAUAUCCCUUGCUAAUGACGGUACCUGAAGAAUAAGCACCGGCUAACUAGGUGCCAGCAGCCGCCGUAAUAC
rnacentral:rRNA from 1 species